AGAGACUCCGCCCCCUUCCUUGGAGCGCUGCGACACGGGCUGAGGGAGCUCGGGCCAAUCAGAGGGACGGCCCCAGAAUGGCAUGGUGAUGGAACGCAGCUGAGAGGUCUGACAAGAUGUACCAGGUCCCACUGCCACUGGAUCGGGAUGGGACCCUGGUACGGCUCCGCUUCACCAUGGUGGCCCUGGUCACGGUCUGCUGUCCACUUGUCGCCUUCCUCUUCUGCAUCCUCUGGUCCCUGCUCUUCCACUUCAAGGAGACAACGGCCACACACUGUGGGCCAUGGUCUGGUGGGUCAUCACUUUUCCUGUGUUCGGCUUCUUCUUCUGCAUCAUCUGGUCCCUGGUGUUCCACUUUGAGUACACGGUGGCCACUGACUGUGGGGUGCCCAAUUACCUGCCCUCGGUGAGCUCAGCCAUCGGUGGGGAGGUGCCCCAGCGCUACGUGUGGCGUUUCUGCAUCGGCCUGCACUCGGCGCCUCGCUUCUUGGUGGCCUUCGCCUACUGGAACCACUACCUCAGCUGUACCUCCCCGUGUUCCUGCUAUCGCCCGCUCUGC
rnacentral:sRNA from 1 species